AGUGAACGCUGGCGGUAGGCCUAACACAUGCAAGUCGAACGGCAGCACAGUAAGAGCUUGCUCUUACGGGUGGCGAGUGGCGGACGGGUGAGGAAUACAUCGGAAUCUACUUUUUCGUGGGGGAUAACGUAGGGAAACUUACGCUAAUACCGCAUACGACCUACGGGUGAAAGCAGGGGAUCUUCGGACCUUGCGCGAAUGAAUGAGCCGAUGUCGGAUUAGCUAGUUGGCGGGGUAAAGGCCCACCAAGGCGACGAUCCGUAGCUGGUCUGAGAGGAUGAUCAGCCACACUGGAACUGAGACUCGGUCCAGACUCCUACGGGAGGCCGCAGUGGGGAAUAUUGGACAAUGGGCGCAAGCCUGCUCCAGCCAUGCCGCGUGGGUCAAUAAGGCCUUCGGGUUGUAAAGCCCUUUUAUUGGGAAAGAAGAGCAGCAGGUUAAUACCGCGCUGUUCUGACGGUACCCAAAGAAUAAGCACCGGCUAACUUCGUG
rnacentral:rRNA from 1 species